rnacentral:lncRNA from 1 species
CCACAGUUGAUUUCUAAAACAACAAUUUGAUAUUUCAUCAAUUGUCUCUAGUGCAAAUGGUAAAGAGCUUAAUAGUUUGUAUCGGAGUUCCUAAGUUCAUAGCACUACAACAAAAACGAUCUAUAGCGACACUUUUAAAUGUAGGUACAUGUUAAAAAAAUGCUGCUAGCUAAAAUUACCGACACUUUUAAAAAGUGUUGCUAUAUGUGGGGUCGCUAGGUAUAUAGUGACAGUUAAAGAGUGUCGCUACAACCUAAAAGAGAGCUGCUAAUUUACCAACACUUAUUUAAGCAUUUAGCAACCGCCAAAACUCUAUCUCGUUGGCUGCGGUGGCGGAGAAGGACGACAGGAAAGGCUCUUCGUCUAGAAUUUUAGUGGAUUGAGUGAAGAGAGAACAAAAGAUGGAAAUUGAUUUUUCUUUUUUUUUUUUCUUUUCUGUUUGUAAUUGGGCCAAAUGGACUGGGUGUGGUGGGUUGAGUAGAGUAAUCUUUUAUUUUUGGUUUGAUUGGGCUUUAUAUUUAGACAUUAGUAGAUAUUUUUUUAAGUUUUAGAAUAAAUGGGACACUUACUCAAAAGUGUCCUAAACAUGUGUCCCUAUAACCUAAUUCUGUUGUAGUGUAGCCCAGUUGCUUCACAUUUUCAGCUAAAUUUAUUUUUUUUAAAAAUGAACGAAGCGGCUAACAUGCUACCCUUCUUUCUAAAAAAAAAAAAAAGAAUUUUAAUCUUUACUAUACCUAACUAGCUAGUUAGGAACUUAUAUAUACUUUAUAAAAUUCGGCUACGAUACUAUUAAUAACACCAAGCACUUAGUAUUAUCAAGUUUUCCGUCAUUAGAUCUACCAAUUAACCAUUUCUAUUUGUGAUAUCAUACUAUUCAACAAAUCACCCACUCAAUUCGAUCUGGGGGUCACUAUUAUUUUAAUUACACAUUCUUUUAUCCAAGAGCUAAAAAUCUAAUAGUUCCAAUGACUUGAUGCUAUCAAUUGUAUAGUAGCAUAUAUAAUUCUAAUUUAUAAAAUGUUAAGAGAGGCCAUAGCCAUUAUGGGCCUCACAAUGAGGCCGAGGAAGAAGAUUCUCGGAAGGCGGAGUUCUUUCCAAGAAGGUUAUAGGGAAGGCCAAGUUCUGUCCCGUGGAAAGCAUUGUUGACGAGCAAAUCGGGCAGUCUUCCGGGGCCACGUAAAAGAUUCGAAAGAAAGAAAAGUGUAGGUUUGGCUCAAAGGGAGGAAGUUAACAAAGUCCACGGUGUGUUCCUUGUGCUUAAUUAUUUUUGGGUAGUCAAAAACUGAGCAUUGAGUACAAUUGGAGUGUAGGAUAAGCCACAACAAUUAAAUUGUCAGAAGCAAGAGUGUCUUUUGUUCAAACGAAGAAAAAGAAAGAAAGAGACACAAAGAAGGUGUGACUCUCCAAAUGUCCUAUUUCCAAAAAUAUAGAAGAGUGUUAUUAUAUAUAAUAAAUAUUUUAGAAACAAUUAUUUUAAGUUGAUAAUUUGGACUCCACGAAUUAUUAGAACUAGUUGGCUGGGUCAUUAUCAAAUCACCAGCCAAAAAUGUGAGUUGUGAGAAUAUAUGACAAUGUGAGGCGGGGAAGUAUGUGAUACCUCAAUAAUCCUAUAUUAAAUAAUGUAGGAUGACGGGAAUAUGAGACCCUAAUAGUGUGCGAUGGGAAAAGUAUGUGAUAGUGUGAGGUGGGAGAGUAUGGGAGACCCUAAAAAUGUGUGAGGUGGGAGAGUAAGUGAGAUCCCAAUAAUCCCACAUAGAAUAAUAUAGAACAUGAGGGAGUAUGUACGACCCCCAUAGUCCCACAUUGAAUACACUACAACAAAAACGGUCUAUAGCGACACUUUUAAAUGUCGGUACAGGUCAAAAAAAAGUACUGCUGGUUAAAUUACCGACACUUUUAAAAAGUGUUGCUAUAUGUGGGAUCGCUAGGUAUAUAGUGACAGUUAAAGAGUGUCGCUAUAACCUAAAAAGAGUGCUACUAAUUUAGCAAUACUUAUUUAAGCAUCUAGCAAUCGCCGGAACUUUACCUCGUUGGUUGCGGUGGCGGAGGAGGACGAAAGGGAAGGGCCCUUUGUCUAGCAUUUCAGUGGAAUGAGUGAGAGGAGAAGGGGAGAUGGUAAUCGAUUAUUUUUUUAUUUUUUCUUUUCUAUUUGUAAUCGGGUCAAAUGGGCUGGGUUGGGUGGGUUGGGUAGAGUAAUCUUUUAUUUUUUAUUGGAUUCAGCUUUAUAUUUAGACAUUCGUAGAUAUUUUUUUUUAAUUUUGGCAUAAAUAGGACACUUAGACAAAAGUGUCCCAAACAUGUGUCGCUAUAACUUAAUUUUGUUGUAGUGAUAAUGUGGAAGAUGUUAAGAUUUGGUUAAAUUUAUAGUUAAAUUAUAGUUGGAUAAGAAUUAAUAUCUAAAUCUAUUGGAACUAAAUUAAGAUUUAAAUAUUAAUUAGAAUAUGAAUCUAACUAGAUUAGGAUAAAUAUUUAAAUCUUUUGGAGAUAAAUCAAUUAAGAUUUAAAUAUUUAUUGGAGUAGGAAUUCUAAAUAUAUUAGGAUUCGGGUAUGUUUUGAUGUAAGCUUUAUAAAUAGCUCCAUUGGUGG